rnacentral:rRNA from 1 species
UACGGGGGGAGCAAGCGUUGUUCGGAUUUACUGGGCGUAAAGCGCGUGUAGGCGGCUUUGCAAGUCGGAUGUGAAAGCCCACGGCUCAACCGUGGAAGUGCAUCCGAAACUGCAUGGCUGGAGUCCCGGAGAGGAAGGUGGAAUGCUUGGUGUAGAGGUGAAAUUCGUAGAUAUCAAGCAGAACACCUGCGGCGAAGGCGGCCUUCUGGACGGUGACUGACGCUGAGACGCGAAAGCGUGGGGAGCAAACAGG